rnacentral:rRNA from 1 species
CUCAAAGAUUAAGCCAUGCAUGUAUAAGUUUAAUCGCACAAAGCGAGAAACCGCGAACGGCUCAUUACAAUGGCCAUUAUUUACUUGAUCUUACGCUCCUAAAUGGACAACUGUGGAAAAGCUAGAGCUAAUACAUGCACCAAAGCUCUGUCCCAUUUUUGGGAGGAGUUCAUUUAUUAGAACAAAACCAAGCAGCUUCGGCUGUCAAUUGUUGACUCAGAAUAACUAAGCUGACCGCAUGGCCUUGUGCCGGCGGCGUCUUUCAAGCGUCCACUUUAUCAACUUGAUGGGAGCAUAAUUGACUCCCAUGGUGGUGACGGAUAACGGAGGAUCAGGGUGACUCCGGAGAAGGGGCCUGAGAAAUGGCCACUACGUCUAAGGAUGGCAGCAGGCGCGCAAAUUACCCACUCUCGGCAAGAGGAGGUAGUGACGAGAAAUAACAAGAUCGUUCUCUUACGAGGCCGGUCAUUGGAAUGGGUACAAUUUAAACCCUUUAACGAGAAUCUACGAGAGGGCAAGUCUGGUGCCAGCAGCCGCGGUAAUUCCAGCUCUCGAAAUUGCAUAGAAUUCUUGUUGCGGUUAAAAAGCUCGUAGUUGGAUCCUUGCUAGUGCCCUGGUCCAUCUCCGGAUGUGUACUGGGUGCCACUGGCUUUUGGUAGUGUUCGGCCAGGUGCUCUUGAACAGCGCUUGUGCAGACGCUACAAGUUUACUUUGAACAAGUGCCUCAAACAGGCUUUCCGCUUGAAUGAUCGUGCAUGGAAUAAUAGAAGAGGAUUUCGGUCUUAUUGGUUUUAGGGACCGAGAUAUGGUUAAAAGAGACAAACGGGGGCAUUCGUAUGGCCACGUGAGAGGUGAAAUUCUUGGACCGUGGCCAGACGGACUACAGCGAAAGCAUUUGCCAAGAAUGUCUUCAUUAAUCAAGAACGAAAGUCAGAGGUUCGAAGGCGAUCAGAUACCGCCCUAGUUCUGACCGUAAACGAUGCCAACUAGCGAUCCGCCGAUGGAGACUUGUCGCCUUGGUGGGGAGCUUCCCGGAAACGAAAGUCUUCCGGUUCCGGGGGAAGUAUGGUUGCAAAGCUGAAACUUAAAGGAAUUGACGGAAGGGCACCACCAGGAGUGGAGCCUGCGGCUUAAUUUGACUCAACACGGGAAAACUCACCCGGCCCGGACACUGUAAGGAUUGACAGAUUGAUAGCUUUUUCAUGAUUCAGUGGAUGGUGGUGCAUGGCCGUUCUUAGUUCGUGGAUUGAUUUGUCUGGUUUAUUCCGAUAACGAGCGAGACUCCAGCCUACUAAAUAGUCGGCGUAUUUGUCACUUGUGCGUACGGCUUCUUAGAGGGAUUUACGGUGUUCAGCCGCAAGAGACGGAGCAAUAACAGGUCUGUGAUGCCCUUAGAUGUCCGGGGCUGCACGCGCGCUACACUGGCAAAAUCAACGUGCUUGUCCUGCCCCGAAAGGGGCGGGUAAACCCUUGAAAAUUUGCCGUGAUUGGGAUCGGAAAUUGCAAUUAUUUUCCGUGAACGAGGAAUUCCAAGUAAGUGCGAGUCAUCAGCUCGCGUUGAUUACGUCCCUGCCCUUUGUACACACCGCCCGUCGCUGCCCGGGACUGAGCCAUUUCGAGAAACUUGGGGACUGUUGRCUUAGUGACGUYCGCGUCGCUUCUUYGGUGGACACCAAUUUAAUCGCAGUGGCUUGAACCGGGCAAAGCGCAAA